GGGCAACACCGUUUUAGCUCAGUGGUCGAGCUUCGGCUUUGGAAGCCACAGGUCGGUGGUUCGAUUCCACCCGGGCGCA
rnacentral:tRNA from 1 species